AUGGCGGGAACGAUGAUGGCCGUGACGGCCAAGAGCAAGAACUGCACGCUGGCCUCGGAGAAGAAACACGGGUGGGCUAUCCCGCAGCUUCCGGAGCUCCGGUUCCCUUGGGAUAUGCAAGAAGACAACAAGGCCUUCUCGUUAAGCUUGCUGCAUGACUCUGCCUCCCCUCACGGCGGGCUGUUUGCUAGCGUUGGUCUCAAAGUGUCGACGCCUGCUCCGGCAGUGUCAACCAGCCCGGCGGAGCAGGAGUUCAAGAUCCCUUUUGCUGAUCACUGCAUAAAGUUUGUCUCGUCGGCAGUCGGGUUUCCAGUUGUUGGGGCCGUGGAUGGGUCUGUGGAGGAGGAGGUGGUGGUGGAUGGUAAGAUUAUUAGGAAGAAGGCCAAGAAGCGGGGGCUGAAACUGAAAAUUAAGAUUGGGAACCCGCAUUUGAGGCGGCUGGUUAGUGGAGCUAUUGCGGGGGCGGUCUCGAGGACUUGUGUGGCGCCGUUGGAGACAAUUAGGACACACCUGAUGGUUGGGAGCAAUGGGGAUUCAAUGACAGAAGUGUUUCAGACAAUUAUGAAGACAGAGGGGUGGACAGGGCUGUUCCGUGGGAAUUUUGUGAAUGUCAUCCGUGUUGCUCCAAGCAAGGCGAUUGAGCUAUUUGCUUUUGAUACAGCCAAAAAAUUCCUGACUCCAAAGGCUGAUGAAUCCUCUAAGACUCCCUUUCCUCCAUCACUUGUCGCGGGGGCACUUGCAGGUGUCAGCUCAACACUCUGCACAUAUCCUCUGGAACUGAUCAAGACCCGUCUGACUAUAGAGAAAGAUGUAUAUGACAACUUUCUCCAUUGCCUCGUCAAGAUUGUACGAGAGGAAGGCCCCUCGGAGCUUUACCGUGGUCUGACACCGAGUCUGAUAGGAGUGGUGCCAUACGCCGCGACCAACUACUAUGCCUACGACACCCUGAGGAAGCUCUACAGGAAGACAUUCAAGCAGGAGGAGAUCAGCAACAUUGCAACUCUCCUGAUCGGUUCGGCCGCGGGCGCCAUCUCGAGCACCGCCACCUUCCCUCUCGAAGUAGCUCGCAAGCAGAUGCAGGCUGGGGCGGUGGGCGGUAGGCAGGUCUACAAGAACGUGUUCCAUGCUCUCUACUGCAUAAUGGAGAAGGAAGGGAUCGGCGGCCUGUACAAGGGGCUUGGGCCUAGCUGCAUCAAGCUCAUGCCCGCGGCGGGGAUCUCGUUCAUGUGCUACGAGGCCUGCAAGAAGAUACUGGUCGAAGCCGAGGAGUAG
rnacentral:rRNA from 1 species